ensembl:lncRNA
CCAAGCAGUAUGAUUAUUUCAUUUAUUCACUAUUCCAUUUAUUAUUAAUGUCUCAUUUCAGUUUAACUUUGGCUUAAGUUUUGUAUUUAUUGCAGUUUAUAUGAAAAGGUUCAUGUAGCGUGGUACAGCCUACUGCAGAAAUUAAUAAGCAAAUGUAAAACGAAAUAUAGCCUGCUGUCACUUUAAGAGCCGCACGGAUCCAAAUCACUGUUACACGCGUAUUUUCAUUCUCAACUCUUUGCAUUCAUUUAUUAUAUGACCGACGAAGUUUGUGUCUACAGCAGCUACUGUAUAUACACCCCAAAGGCUCUUUUAAGAGCCACAUCACGAGAGCGUCUUUGGCUUUGCUAUUUUCAGAGCCACAUCGCCCAGCAUCCUUGGCUUUCACCUACAUACACCCCAAGGCUCUUUUCAGAGCCACUCGCCCAGCAUCACACAGCAUUGUGAACUACCUACGGUCAAUCGGGGGUUCGAAUCCAGGAGCAGCUGUUUAAGGUGGCAACCAAUGAGGUCCUGGGUGCAUACAACCUUCGGGGGAAGAAAUCAAAACUAGCCUUCCAAGACCUCAGGAUUUGUUCCAUUAUUAUAGGAGCAACACAGAAGACUUUUAAAUCACUGAAGUCAGUUGAGGUGGAGGAUCUGAUUUCACUGGCCCUGAAAAUGAUCACUAUUGCACACCAAUCUUUGUAAUCCCCUGCAAUAAAAAAAAUGACCACAUGGUGCGUUGUUCAGUUCAGAAGUGGGGCAACUGAAAUUGUGCCAAACUCAUGGGUUGAAGGAGAUAAAGUCUUCUGGCCCCCAUACCCUCCUAAGGACUCUAUUAGGCUGAAUGCAGCCAUCCUGAAUAGAGAGCAGCCUGGUCAGGGAUGGCACACAUACCAGCCUAUCCGUCUCCUCAUAACUCGUGAUAGUCAUGAUGAGGCAGCGAGGAGCCUGGACAGAUAUCUCAAUAAAGAUUGUGACAUCACUGACAUCCAGUCUGAGGAGGAGAGCCACCAUGCCCUGAAAAGAAAAAGAAGCAGCGACCCAACUAGCCAGUCAGAACAGCCAACCAUCACCACCUCCACGAAUCUAUCAGACCCUCCAACGCCCCAAUUCCCCCAUGUUGUCUUACCCCAAUGUCCCAGCAUCGUUCCCUGGAGAUGAAUUGGUGUUCUCUCCAAUUAAUUUACUCCAGAGGCCAUCUCCUGAAGUUGUUUCAGAUUCUUCAGAAACUGCCAGGUUGGCAUUAAAAGAUGUGGCUAUGCAAAAACUUCUUACUGCAGUGACAGAGCUGUCCAAGGAGGUGAAGGACCUGCGGGAGGAGUUUAGGCAAUUCCGCCAGUCCUGCAGGUGUGGACAAUCGGAGUCUGUGGUACAGCCACUGUCGGAGCCCUUGGAGCUGCCCUUCCACACCAUGGAGGCCCUGGCCCAUGCAGAAGAGACACUGUUAAAUGGCACAAACCGACAGGCAAUGACUGCUCGUCUCGCCACCAUUGGAGGGACUACCCUAGAGGUGAGGGUCCGCCGUAUGAUGGCACACCUGUUGUCGAAUGAACUGGCUCCAAGACUGAACUGGGCUGGAAAAAAGAACAAGGAGCCUACUAAACAAAAACGUCCCUUUAAAGAGUUGGCACUCUGCCGAUCUUUGUUUGGUGCAGAGCGGACAACGCAUCACGACACCGUCACAGCAGAUGACCUACUAACCCGGAACAACACUUCUUCUUCUUCUUCUUCUUCUUCUUCCUUGAUGUUUAACGGCGGUUGGCAUCCAACUUCAAUGGUGCAUUACCGCCACCUACUGUACUGGAGUGUGAACCGGAGCUAGACAAAGAGAAACUAAAACUAAAAUGGAGACUUCCAACUCUCUUCCCCCA